ACAAUCUGGCUUCUGAGAUGGAUGACUAGUCAGGACCCUGAAAAGCAGCUAGUGCAAAGAAAAAAAUAGAUACUAUACUCGAGACAACAAUCUUCAAUAUUUUCUGGUGAGGUGUCCCUGUGUGGCGGUAAAUGCACAUGAGUGCAGUUCUUGAGGAGGCCACAAGAGGGUGCUGGAUCCCCAAGAGUUGAACUUAAAGCAAAGAAGUUUCAUUGAGUGAUGAGAAAACAAGACAAUACAGAAAAGGAAAGCUAAACUGACAGAAAUUCAAUGCCACAAAUCUGAUGUCCAAAGG
rnacentral:lncRNA from 1 species